rnacentral:rRNA from 1 species
GAUGAACGCUGGCGGCGUGCCUAAUACAUGCAAGUCGAGCGAACAGAUGAGGAGCUUGCUCCUCUGACGUUAGCGGCGGACGGGUGAGUAACACGUGGAUAACCUACCUAUAAGACUGGGAUAACUUCGGGAAGCCGGAGCUAAUACCGGAUAAUAUAUUGAACCGCAUGGUUCAAUAGUGAAAGACGGUUUUGCUGUCACUUAUAGAUGGAUCCGCGCCGCAUUAGCUAGUUGGUAAGGUAACGGCUUACCAAGGCAACGAUGCGUAGCCGACCUGAGAGGGUGAUCGGCCACACUGGAACUGAGACACGGUCCAGACUCCUACGGGAGGCAGCAGUAGGGAAUCUUCCGCAAUGGGCGAAAGCCUGACGGAGCAACGCCGCGUGAGUGAUGAAGGUCUUCGGAUCGUAAAACUCUGUUAUUAGGGAAGAACAAAUGUGUAAGUAACUAUGCACGUCUUGACGGCACCUAAUCAGAAAGCCACGGCUAACUACGUG